GACUAACGCUGGCGGCGUGCUUAACACAUGCAAGUUGAACGGAGCAGGUUUAUAGCAAUAUGAACUUGCUUAGUAGCGGACGGGUGAGUAACGCGUGAGCAAUCUGCCUUUGUGAGGGGGACAACAGCCGGAAACGGCUGCUAAUACCGCAUGAGACCACGGCUCCGAGUGGAGCAGGGGUAAACGAUUUAUCGCACAAAGAUGAGCUCGCGUCCCAUUAGCUAGUUGGCGGGGUAACGGCCCACCAAGGCGACGAUGGGUAGCCGACCUGAGAGGGUGAUCGGCCACACUGGAACUGAGACACGGUCCAGACUCCUACGGGAGGCAGCAGUGGGGAAUAUUGGGCAAUGGGCGCAAGCCUGACCCAGCAACGCCGCGUGAGGGAAGAAGGUCUUCGGAUUGUAAACCUCUGUCCUUGGGGACGAAAAAAAUGACGGUACCCAAGGAGGAAGCUCCGGCUAACUACGUGCCAGCCGCCGCAGUAA
rnacentral:rRNA from 1 species